rnacentral:piRNA from 1 species
UGCAGAGAAGAAACUAAGGUGGUAGGUUGU